UACGUAGGGGGCGAGCGUUGUCCGAAGUUACUGGGCGUAAAGCGCGCGUAGGCGGCUUUUUAAGUCUGGGGUGAAAGGUUCUGCGCUUAACGUGAACAGUGCCCUGGAGACUGGAAGGCUUGAGUGUGGGAGGGGGCAGUGGAAUUCCUGGUGUAGCGGUGAAAUGCGUAGAGAUCAGGAGGAACACCGAUGGCGAAGGCAGCUGCCUGGCCUAACACUGACGCUGAGGUGCGAAAGCGUGGGGAGCGAACGGG
rnacentral:rRNA from 1 species